UUUAGGCGCGAGCCACACGCUCGGCCGGCCGCACAACGGCAAGUACGCCACGCUCAGCAAGCAGUGCAAGACGCUGGAGAGCAACGACUUCUACUGAGACCGGCCCGGCGGCGGCGCGCCCACUGACAACGCAGGUUUGUGAUUUUAUUUAUUUAUUUAUUUAUUUAUUUAAGCGCGUCUCUCGGCGCUUUAGGCGCGAGCCACACGCUCGGCCGGCCGCACAACGGCAAGUACGCCACGCUCAGCAAGCAGUGCAAGACGCUGGAGAGCAACGACUUCUACUGAGACCGGCCCGGCGGCGGCGCGCCCACUGACAACGCAGCCCAAGCCGGGCGCGCGACGAGCCUGAACCGCUUCGACCCGAAGUACGCGUCGUUCGGGCCCCGCGCGCCCCGCCCGCGCCCCGCCGCGCCCCCCUCGUUAGCUACAUUCGCCCCGCCCGCCGACAAAUACGCCACAGUACGGGCCCCGAGGCGCCCUGAGCCGCAGCCAUUAUCCGCAGCAGCCCUAGAAUACCGCUCGCUGCAACGCCCCCGCCGGCAACAACCGAAUACGGCUACGCAGCAUCGCCGACGACCCGAACGCCCCGAGCGCGCGGAACGCCCCGAACGCCCCGAGCGAGCGGAACGCCCCGACCGCCAGCAUCAAGACCACCGCGAUCUAUACGCGGUGACGGAGCUGUAGCGAACAGGCCAUGUCAGGUCAGUCGUCGCGGCCGAUGUGAACUGCUCCACGUUCGUUUGUAACGUGUGACGGACUUUUGAUACUUUUAAGUGACAGAAUCGGAUGACAGACGUUUAAACUUUAGAAUACCGCUAGCUGCAACGCCCCCGCCGGCAACAACUGAACACGGCUACGCAGCACCGUCGACGACCCGAACGCCCCGAGCGAGCGGAACGCCCCGAACGCCCGGAACGCCCCGAACGCCCCAACCGCCAGCAUCAAGACCACCGCGAUCUGUAAGCGGUGACGGAGCUGUAGCGAACAGGCCACGUCAGGUCAGUCGUGGCUGCCGAUGUGAACUGCUCCACGUUCGUUUGUAACGUGUAACGGACUUUGAUACUUUUAAGUGACAGAAUCGGAUGACAGACGUUUAAACUUUAGAAUACCGCUCGCUGCAACGCCCCCGCCGUCAACAACCGAAUACGGCUACGCAGCACCGUCGACGACCCGAACGCCCCGAGCGAGCGGAACGCCCCGAACGCCCGGACCGCCAGCAUCAAGAUCACCGCGAUCUGUACGCGGUGACGGAGCUGUAGCGAACAGGCCACGUCAGGUCAGUUGUCGCGGCCGAUGUGAACUGCUCCACGUUCGUUUGUAACGUGUAACGGACUUUAUACUUCGACUUAUUAAUCUUGAUCCUUUUAAGUGACAAAAUCUGAUGACAGGCGUUUAAAUCAAUAUUAACAGAUGAAGAUUUCUUUCAAGUAGCCGCUUACACAGACGUGUACGGUGUAAGACAAAACGAAACCUGAAUCUCAAAGCAACUGACAAUAUGACAUGAAACCAAUUAAGUGACACAUAGAACAAAACGCUUUAUGAGACUGAAAAAGCAAAGCGUUUAUGUUAACAAAUGGUGAGAAGUGAUAAGAGUUAAGUGGACGGAUUUCGAAAUAUAGUCAUAUGAGUUGUGACCACUGGCCAUUCAAACAUUCACUAUGCCCAUCAUAGUAGAAUACUUGAGUGGCAGCUAUUAAAAUAUUAAGUUAUGGAGACAAGGUGACGAAACAGUUUCGUGGGUUUAGGAUAUAAACUGUAAUUUGACAGUCCCAAAGCUCAUGCUGUCUUUCUUUAACGCUUAAGAGUUCAAAGGACAACAUUACUUAUGAACUGUCAAAAUAUUUGACGUUUGUGUCGAAAUCAAUAAUUGAUUUGUAAACCAAGCAAAAACAAAUAUGUAAAGAAAAGAAUUAAGACUUUUAAAUCUAAGUAGAUUUAACUCUAACGGCAAUACAUUUUUAAUGAGAAUAAAAUUACAUGUAAAAUCAAUUUUAUUAAAUAUUUAGUGAAUGAAUUGUGAAAGGUAUUAACUGUUAUGUAUGUCAACUUUGAAUAUGGCAAAAAUUUACGGCACAUGGUCAAAAAUUGACAAAACUUUACUUAUUGACUUCCAGAUAAUACUGAUGGUUAUUUGUCUGUAUCUAAAACAGAUAAUUUACAAUAAUAGUACGUAUUUAAACGUCAAUAAGUAUCAAUUCUAUGCAGACCUCUAAAAAUAAUUUAAUUAAAAAGACUACAGCAGAGUGAAUAUGUGUCAGCACCUGUUCAAAUUUGCUCAAAUCUUUGUAAUUUUAUCGUAAAUGGUCUACUUUUGUAUGCGAUGGAGUGCUAGUGAGAAUGUGUAGGUAAUUAUAUUCCUUUACACCAUAUCUUAAACUUUAUUUAGUCAAAUUCGAGCGGACUUGAGAGCUGGCCUAUUACUUUUUAUUAAAAAGUUUAUGCUAAAUAAUAUUCUUCAUGAAUAUUAACAAAUAAACUAGGCACAUAAAAUUAGCACAAUUUUUUAAACUGAUUUUGGUUAAAGUGUGCGCUCUUUCCAAAACAAUGUCCAUACUAAAGGCUGUGUUAAAGUGUUUAAUAAAUAAUGACCAAUAAACCCAGUUCGUUUAAACAUUUUAUUAAGAAAUACUUGACUGUGACCGAUACACUCUUUUUACUCAGUUUUCGCUCAAUCUAGGUUUAGGAUACCUGAAGAACGGUCUACUAUCUAGCCGUUUGUUAUCAAUGGUUGAUAACUCUUGAUGCUCGUUCAAGGUAUGGAAGAGAUGCCAAAUCUUAGGGAAUACAAUUUUUUGGCAUUUUCUUAAUAUAAAACUAACGUAGCCCGGCUUAAGUCCGAGAAGACACGUUUGUAUUGUAUGUGUAUACAAUAAUUUCAAUGUAUAUAGUAAUUAAUACGAUUAUCUAUCUAUACAUAAUUUUAUAUAGUCUGUUUAUGUGUGAUUCGAGUUUUUUAAUACUUGUAUAUUUGAGUCAAACGAAUACACAGGUAGCAAAAGUUAUCACAAAAUAUAUUUAGAAUCUCGUUUCGAUUAAUGCUUUAAAAAUGUAAUUAAAUUUUAAUAAUUUCAAAUUGGUAGGCUCAAUGCUGUUGCAAUAGCGUGGACCUAAUGUAUAUAACUUAGUAAUUUACUAUAGUCUUGGCUAAUUCGGUUUAUUUACAUACAGCUAAUUUAUUCGGUUACUGUAAAAAUUAAAUAUGAUAAGUGAAUCAUUCCAACGUGUGUGAAUUAGAAAAGUGGAAUUGUUAGAAUGCAGUCGUACGAAAUAUAUCUUUAAUAUUGUGUACAUAAGGUGCAAACCAGAACUGCCAUUCGACGAGCGACAUUCGGAAUAUCUGUUGUUGAUAAAUUAAUAUAGCUAUUAUUAUUCCCAGAACAGACGGUCAAACGCAACUGCAACGAAACUGCAACUUUGUGAUGAUUCUGAUGAAUGAAACUGAAACUGAAAGUUUCAAACUGGUCGGGUCAUGUGUGGUCUCUCAACGGACGCUAUGACAGAAAUUUAGAUGCAACUCAAAAGUAACUAGCAGUUGCAGUUUCGUUGCAGUUGCGUUUCACCGUCUGUUCUGGGCCUUACGGAAAAGUACUGCUCUUGCUAUAACACCACAAAUUGUAAUUGUAUAUUAAAGUAAAGAGGAUUAUCUUGAGAAUAUAUCACUGUUACAUUCUGAAAGUUUACAAGUCAGGAUGAUACUAAAUGUACUGUACAUAGUGUUUCUUGUCUUGAUCUCUUACUCAUCCUGCAAUAGAAGUUGACUAACUUUAGUAGACAACUAAAUUGAAAAAUAAGGCUAAUGGAACGUGUCAGUUUUACCAGAUGGCUCGCAAACCCACUAUAAUUGGACCCUUUUAUUCUACAAUAUUCCUAUUACCGGAAAAUUUCCAAGGGGUUUUAUCUAAAUUAUUCCCCAACAGACAGAAAUGUCUUGAAUGAAGUAUCCUCCAUCUGGUAUUAGGCCGCUUUUACAUUAGGGCGUGAGAAGCGCGACUACGACGUUUUUAUAAUGUGAAGGCAGGCAUGCGCUGUCAUAUAGUAUGAAAUUAUCGGCAGCGCGUUGUCGUGCUGCUAAAGUCGCCUAAAUGUGAAAGCACUCUUACUGUUUCCGCAAAAAUGGUGUCAAUAUAAGUUACUGGUCAAGAAAAUUCUGUUUUGCAAAUUUGAUAUGCUUGCAUCAUUAAGUUUAACACAAGACUGUUGUAAAAACAAACUUAGAUAGCGUAAAUCUGCUACAAAGUAAUUCAAGAGUGUCGUAUUUUCAAGAUGGUGUUUCUAAAAUAAUAAUCUUGAUAGCUGUAUAUCUAAAUGUAGUAUAAUUAAGUGUAAAUGGUACCAGUUUUAUUGAUAUGCGUGAUGCGUACAGUUUUGUAACUCAGUAUUAAAAUAGGGAAUUUUGUGAGACUUUACAACGACGUUCGUACGUUUUUUAUGAUCAAGGUGUAUUUUUAUUUCACUCGUAUAAGUUCGAAGGUACCGUAAGCAGUGUAUUCGCCAAAGAUAAUGCAUAAUUUAAGUAAUUACGCCUAGUUAGUGUUAAGGUUGUUUUAGAAUGAUGUAGUUGACUAGUGACGGACGUAUUGCAGGACUUAGUUUUGGACUUUUUUUACAUUAUCAUUGAGUUUCUUUUACAAUAACAUCGAGAAAAAUUCAGAGCUGUUUUCGUUCACUUAUUUUGUUGUAUAUUAAAAUAAAAUAUUAAAAAACUACGCAAUAUGUCCGUCCUCUCUGUAACCUAGGAGUUGUAUACUAUCGGUUUCACGAAUGAGAGAACAUGUAAAGAUUUCGCUAGGAACGUUUAUUUAUGUGAAUUGAAGUUGAUUUGAGACAGUAUCUUAAAAAAAAGUAUGAAAUUGGUUAACUCUUUAUAAUCUCAGUUUAUUUUUAUUACUUAUAAUUAAUAGUUUCUUCAUUUUCUAGAACUUUUUUGAACAAAUAGUGUUCAAAAAUCUACUAUAGUUUUUUAACUACUUAUUUUCUUCUAUUCUAUUUCUUUCUCAUCGUUAAAAAGCUGUCGAUUGGCAUUAUAAAGAGUUGAAUUAUGCAAUAACGAAAUUAUAUUAACUUUACAUUGUAAGUUCCACAAUUUUUCAAAUGUAAAUCUCGCACACUAUUUAUAAUUAUUAACUGUAUUAAACACGAUUGUAAAGUAUGAUAUUAUGGUUAUCAAAACGACUAUUUAUUUCGCGGGCAAUUUUUAGAAGCAUUGUGUUAUAUCAACUAAAUAUUUGUACAUAAAGUCGCGUUAUUUAGCCAGUGCUAAAGCUACCUUAUGUACUAUACACAAAACAGAUUUUGUUUUGGUUAAAAAUCGUAUACAAAUACAUAUAGCAAGUGCAAUACCAAUUUGUUUUUCCAAACUGUAUGUUACACCCCGUAUGUUUCACACUUAUCGAUUAAAUAGUUAAAUUAUUUUCAAAUGAUUGAAUAAAGGUUUGAAUAAAGUUCACUAGAAGCAAAUCUGAUUUUAUGCUUAGUAUGAAACUUAAUAAUAAUCUAUCGAAGGUUACCAUAGAGUGGGUACGUUAUUUAGUCACUGCCCUGGUGUGUUUAAUUUUAGCAUUCGUGCCAUAAACUAUGUUGUUGAUUCUCUAUAGGCAUGUGCAGAAUCGGAAACCACUCGGAAUUGCAAGUUUUGUUUUUAAUAUAUUAUUGAAGGAAUAGUUUUUGUUUUAGUAUGCUUUAGGCAUUGUUUUGCUUUUUCAAGUCAAUUAUGGUGCGCCCGAGUAUGUUAACAUUAAUAGCGUAUGGUAUUUGUGCAUUGUGAGGUACAAUUGUAAAACUAACUAGUCUAUUAUUUUCUGUAUCAUCUAUAGUUUUCUUUUUUUCCAAGUUCGACUUGUUAUCAAAAGUAAGUAUUUAUUAUUUAUUUAGUUAAACGUACCAUACAAUGUACAAAUCCUUAGUUAAGUCUCAUCUCGUGAUGUAUGACGUGUAUAACGUAAAUUAUAAACGGUUGAUGAAUAGAUCAAGUGUAUGAGUUUACAAUGAAACUAAUAAAUGGAUAAAAUUA